GCUGGGCAUGGUGGCGCAUGCCUAUAGUCCCAGCUACUCAGGAGGCUGAGGCAGGAGAAUGGCUUGAACCCGGGAGGCAUAGGUUGCAGUGAGCCAAGAUUGCGCCACUGCACUCCAGCCUGGGCAACAGAGUGAGACUCUGUCUCAA
rnacentral:SRP_RNA from 2 species